rnacentral:rRNA from 1 species
UACAGAGGUCUCAAGCGUUGUUCGGAUUCAUUGGGCGUAAAGGGUGCGUAGGCGGUCGGGUAAGUCUGCUGUGAAAUCCCGCAGCUCAACUGCGGAACUGCAUUGGAAACUAUCCGACUAGAGGAAUGGAGGGGAGACUGGAAUUCUCGGUGUAGCAGUGAAAUGCGUAGAUAUCUGGAGGAACACCGGUGGCGAAGGCGGCAUCCUGGACCAAUUCUGACGCUGAGGAGCGAAAGCCAGGGGAGCAACCGGG